rnacentral:rRNA from 1 species
CCUACGGUGGGCUGCAGUGGGGAAUAUUGGACAAUGGGGGGAACCCUGAUCCAGCCAUGCCGCGUGUGUGAAGAAGGCCCUCGGGUUGUAAAGCACUUUCAGUGAGGAAGAACGCCUGGUGGUUAAUACCCAUCAGGAAAGACAUCACUCACAGAAGAAGCACCGGCUAACUCCGUGCCAGCAGCCGCGGUAAUACGGAGGGUGCGAGCGUUAAUCGGAAUUACUGGGCGUAAAGCGCGCGUAGGUGGCUUGAUAAGCCGGUUGUGAAAGCCCCGGGCUCAACCUGGGAACGGCAUCCGGAACUGUCAAGCUAGAGUGCAGGAGAGGAAGGUAGAAUUCCCGGUGUAGCGGUGAAAUGCGUAGAGAUCGGGAGGAAUACCAGUGGCGAAGGCGGCCUUCUGGACUGACACUGACACUGAGGUGCGAAAGCGUGGGUAGCAAACAGGAUUAGAUACCCGAGUAGUC